CGAAGUGUGGAUGCCCCAUGAGGUGAGCCUGUUAUUCUACCCUCCAGUAUUCCCGAUUGUUCUGUAAUCCAAUUCUAUAUAUUGUAUUAUAUCAGCACAACCAAGGGAAUAAAAAAAAAAUAAUAUAAAGAUAUGAAUAGAUGAUUACACUGCAGAGAAUGAAAUAUGAAUUGUAAUAAGUCCAUCACCAUAGCACUAAAUAACAUAAAGCCAUUAUUGAACGAAUAUUAGUAAAUUAAUUUAAAAGAUGAUAUUAUAUAUUAAGUAUUUUUAGAUAGUUAGCACAUAGAAACAUUUAUAUUUACUUAAUGAGUUAUAUCAAUGUUGUUUUAAUGAUAAAAAAAAGUUCUCAGCAGAUAAAAAUUUUCAAUGGCAUUACCCAGCAUCAAGCGUUUGCCAAAGCCAAGUUUCAGGGAAAUUCUUGCGUACUUUCGUCUUCUCUGAUGGCAAUGCAAUUGAACUGAAACUUCCAGCAGCUGUUGGAAAGGCGAACUCUACACCAGAUCUGUAGUAUACUAUACAGACAUAAGCCUUGUUAAGUAAUAAGUACGUGAUCUGAUUAACUAAAGACUUGAUAGUAAGUAUUACAUGAAAAAUUAGAUUUAAGAACAUCCUUCUCAUUCUACAUUGCAAAUGAAUAAAAUGUUGUUGACUAAAUAUGUUAUGGUAUUAGAAAAUAUUUAGUAUCACGUGUAAGAGAUAAGAAAAUGAUAUUAGUAAUAAACUUAAGCCAUAUAGAAAGCACUUUACUUACGAAUUUGAAAAUUUUCAUGGACAUAGGCAUUUGUUAUAAUGAUAGCACCGCUUUCCUAUCAAACAAUAUAUAUCUAUAUUAAUAUUGAUAAAAAAAUAUCAAAAAUCCAUCCAAAUAAAAUUAUUUAUCUAUUUACUCUGAAAACAUCUUUUGCUGUAGCUGAACCAGGAUUCCAUAAAUAUCGAUCAAAAACCGAGUUUGCAUAAGGUGAUUCAUGAUUAUUAUCAUAUGAUUUCAACUCUUUAUAAACUUGUUCCUGCGAAUAAUUAAGAUACGUAAUAAAGUAUUAUUUAUAAUUAUAACAAAACUUAAAUUAAUGAGAAUUAUUUAUAAUACUACAUACAUAUGAAAUAUCGUUCCCAGACUUUAAAAGAAUAGAUCUUUGAUCUACACCUAAUAAUCCAACAUAUGAAUUUGGUUUUGAAGUAAUAACUAAAUUGAUAUUAUCUCCUGGUGCAACUUCUUCAGAUGCCAUUUUAAUAUCAACCUUUAAUAGAAAUUAAAACAUCAGAUUCAGGUUUAUCAAUUCUAAUUUUUAUUACAAUUAAUUCGUCAAAUUAACUUACAAAAUUUUGAAGUAGUCCUUCUAGUUCAACAUCUAAGGCAUCUGCAAUGAUUUCUCCAUCAUUUCCUAUAUAAUAUAUAAUUACAUGUGCAGUAGGAGCCAUGACAUAUGUUGCUAAGAACCUAAAAUAUAUUUCGCGCUUUGUAAAUAAAUAAUAAACGAAAUAGAUUACAUCGUAAUUAGAUAUUAAAAAAUAUUUACUUAAAACUUGUUGUAUGUUUAUUUUGUACAUAUAUAGAACCUGCAUCCAAUAUAUCGCCACGUCCAAAUAUCUCGUAAUUAAUAUAUUUCAAUGGAGCUGUAGAAUUUACUUCAAUUUCUACAUCUCGAUUAACCUUAUACAAAAAUAUCAUAUUCUUUUAAUGAUGAUUUUCAUACAUUUAAAAUAAUUUAAAUAACAUAAAGAUGAUCAUACCAUAGGUUUUUCAGUUUUCAAAAUAGCUUGUAUAUAUUCAUUAUUCUGAGACAUAGCUUGGUUUGUUGAUGGGAACCAUUCAUGAAGGUUUAAAUAUUGAGCCUAUUUAUAAUCAUUUUUUUGGUGGUUAUUGUUAAAUCAUUAUUUCUAUUAUUAAUUUCAGUGCUUAUGUAUCUACUAUAAUAUUUUACCUCUAUGUUUAAAGGAUAUGACAUAUUAUCAUUAGUUUUUGGCGGAUAAAAAUCCAACUUUACCAUUCCAUUUUCAUCCAACAUACCAGUAAUAUUCGUGUAUGUGGACUGAUUAUCAGUAAUGAGAAUACUAAGACAUCAUUAAAUAAUAUCAAUGACGCUGUUACAAUUGUGGAACAGGAAUCAAUAUAAAAAAAUUUGUAAUGUGCCUUUAGGAACUUACAAAAAGUUUACUUAACUAUUAGAAUUCACUUACUUGGCAUAGACUGUUGCAGUGAUUUUUGAUUCUUUAAAUGUAAAAUGUUUAGGAGCAUCAAUUAUCACUUCAAAAUUAGGUACCUAAAACUGGGUACUCAGACAAUUCGAUU